GACGAACGCUGGCGGCGCGCCUAACACAUGCAAGUCGAACGGGGAUACACCUUCGGGUGUAUUCUAGUGGCGGACGGGUGAGUAACACGUGAGUAACCUGCCCUUGACUCUGGGAUAAGCGUUGGAAACGACGUCUAAUACCGGAUACGACCUUCGGAGGCAUCUCCUGGGGGUGGAAAGAAUUUCGGUCAAGGAUGGACUCGCGGCCUAUCAGCUAGUUGGUGAGGUAAUGGCUCACCAAGGCGACGACGGGUAGCCGGCCUGAGAGGGUGACCGGCCACACUGGGACUGAGACACGGCCCAGACUCCUACGGGAGGCAGCAGUGGGGAAUAUUGCACAAUGGGCGCAAGCCUGAUGCAGCAACGCCGCGUGAGGGACGACGGCCUUCGGGUUGUAAACCUCUUUUAGUAGGGUAAGAAGCGAAAGUGACGGUACCUGCAGAAAAAGCACCGGCUAACUACGUAG
rnacentral:rRNA from 1 species